GGCCGCGUGGGUCAGAGGUCAGAAUAUCGUGUUACUGAUCAGCCGGCCGGCCGGGCCGCGAGUUCGAAUCUCGCCUUCGCCA